UCUGUAAGCCUGUGAAGGUGUGCUGUGAGGUAUGCUGGAGGUAUCAGAAGUGCGAAUGCUGACAUAAGUAACGAUAAAGCGGGUGAAAAGCCCGCUCGCCGGAAGACCAAGGGUUCCUGUCCAACGUUAAUCGGGGCAGGGUGAGUCGACCCCUAAGGCGAGGCCGAAAGGCGUAGUCGAUGGGAAACAGGUUAAUAUUCCUGUACUUGGUGUUACUGCGAAGGGGGGACGGAGAAGGCUAUGUUGGCCGGGCGACGGUUGUCCCGGUUUAAGCGUGUAGGCUGGUUUUCCAGGCAAAUCCGGAAAAUCAAGGCCGAGGCGUGAUGACGAGGCACUACGGUGCUGAAGCAACAAAUGCCCUGCUUCCAGGAAAAGCCUCUAAGCAUCAGGUAACAUCAAAUCGUACCCCAAACCGACACAGGUGGUCAGGUAGAGAAUACCAAGGCGCUUGAGAGAACUCGGGUGAAGGAACUAGGCAAAAUGGUGCCGUAACUUCGGGAGAAGGCACGCUGAUACGUAGGUGAAGCGACUUGCUCGUGGAGCUGAAAUCAGUCGAAGAUACCAGCUGGCUGCAACUGUUUAUUAAAAACACAGCACUGUGCAAACACGAAAGUGGACGUAUACGGUGUGACGCCUGCCCGGUGCCGGAAGGUUAAUUGAUGGGGUUAGCGCAAGCGAAGCUCUUGAUCGAAGCCCCGGUAAACGGCGGCCGUAACUAUAACGGUCCUAAGGUAGCGAAAUUCCUUGUCGGGUAAGUUCCGACCUGCACGAAUGGCGUAAUGAUGGCCAGGCUGUCUCCACCCGAGACUCAGUGAAAUUGAACUCGCUGUGAAGAUGCAGUGUACCCGCGGCAAGACGGAAAGACCCCGUGAACCUUUACUAUAGCUUGACACUGAACAUUGAGCCUUGAUGUGUAGGAUAGGUGGGAGGCUUUGAAGUGUGGACGCCAGUCUGCAUGGAGCCGACCUUGAAAUACCACCCUUUAAUGUUUGAUGUUCUAACGUGGACCCGUGAUCCGGGUUGCGGACAGUGUCUGGUGGGUAGUUUGACUGGGGCGGUCUCCUCCUAAAGAGUAACGGAGGAGCACGAAGGUUGGCUAAUCCUGGUCGGACAUCAGGAGGUUAGUGCAAUGGCAUAAGCCAGCUUGACUGCGAGCGUGACGGCGCGAGCAGGUGCGAAAGCAGGUCAUAGUGAUCCGGUGGUUCUGAAUGGAAGGGCCAUCGCUCAACGGAUAAAAGGUACUCCGGGGAUAACAGGCUGAUACCGCCCAAGAGUUCAUAUCGACGGCGGUGUUUGGCACCUCGAUGUCGGCUCAUCACAUCCUGGGGCUGAAGUAGGUCCCAAGGGUAUGGCUGUUCGCCAUUUAAAGUGGUACGCGAGCUGGGUUUAGAACGUCGUGAGACAGUUCGGUCCCUAUCUGCCGUGGGCGCUGGAGAACUGAGGGGGGCUGCUCCUAGUACGAGAGGACCGGAGUGGACGCAUCACUGGUGUUCGGGUUGUCAUGCCAAUGGCACUGCCCGGUAGCUAAAUGCGGAAGAGAUAAGUGCUGAAAGCAUCUAAGCACGAAACUUGCCCCGAGAUGAGUUCUCCCUGACCCUUU
rnacentral:rRNA from 1 species